GCGCAGCAGUCGCGAAAACUCCGCAAUACGCGAAAACGUGACGGGGCCAUCCCGAGUGCCGUCCGCUGAGGACGGCUUUUCCCCUGUGUAGAUAGCUGGGGGAAUAAGGAGAGGGCAAGUCUGGUGUCAGCCGCCGCGGUAAUACCAGCUCUUCGAGUGGUAGGGAUGUUUAUUGGGCCUGAAGCAUCCGUAGCUGGCUGAACAAGUCCUCCGUUAAAUCCAGCGAUUUAAUCGUUGGAUUGCGGGGGAUACUGCUCGGCUAGGGGGUGGGAGAGACCAACGGUAUUCUCGGGGUAGGGGUGAAAUCCUAUAAUCCCGGGAGGACCACCAGUGGCGAAGGCGGCCGACUAAAACGCGCCCGACGGUCAGGGACGAAGCCCAGGGGCGCAAACGGGAUUAGAUACCCGCGUAGUCC
rnacentral:rRNA from 1 species